UACGUAGGGUGCGAGCGUUAAUCGGAAUUACUGGGCGUAAAGCGUGCGCAGGCGGUUUUGUGAGCCAGAUGUGAAAUCCCCGGGCUUAACCUGGGAAUGGCAUUUGGGACUGCAAGGCUGGAGUUUGGCAGAGGAGACUGGAAUUCCCGGUGUAGCAGUGAAAUGCGUAGAUAUCGGGAGGAAUACCGAUGGCGAAGGCAGGUCUCUGGGCCGAUACUGACGCUGAGGAGCGAAAGCGUGGGGAGCGAACAGG
rnacentral:rRNA from 1 species